GAGCGUCUCAUCCUCUUCACCUUGUGUGUUCGUGCGCAUGCAAGUUAGUUUUCACGGAGGAUGCAAUAUUUUGUUCAGAUACUGACAGAAAUGAACCCAAUAUCAUUUCGUACAAGAACCUGCUAAAUCUAAAAAAAAAAAUAUUUUUAAUAUUACAAAAAGGUAUUAUUUUUGUUGCUCUCAUAUGCAAGAACGAUGGAUUUAGUUCUCGUUGCCAAUGAUAAAUAAGCCUUUGCCAAAGAACAAAACAUUGUUUUGGGAGAUGGGCACUGCAAUGGAUUCUAAGAAGAAAGAUGAGAAGAAAAAUUCAAGAAAAAGGAGAUCGCUUCGGAUAAACAUGCCUGACUUGAGCUCCUUAGCCAUGCCGUUCCUGGAAGGAGACGUGGAACAUGCGAAAAAGGACGGUGUGUGCAAGGGGGAGUUUAGCUGCCAUUCAGCCAGCCCGACCAAAACCUUCUUCAGCCGGGGUCCGUUUAGUCGGCCCUCUAGCCCCAUGUCCGCACCGGCCCGAUUCAGAAACAGCCCUGGAUCGCCCAAACCCAUCUUCCCAUACUCCUCCAACCAUGACUCCUCGCCCAAGUGUUCACGUCGCCGCAGCUUCACCGGAAUCUUUCGCUCAUCCUCUAAAGACUCCACAAAUCCCUCCACGUCUCCUGUCAGCAUCAAACUCUUCUCUCGGGCCAGGAAAGCCUCUGGUAUCUCCUCAUCACCCACCACUCCAACACAAGUCACCAAGCAGACUUCAGCAUUUCUUCUGGAAGACAUUCGGAAUGACAGAGUGCAGCGCUCCUCCUCUUCCCCCCUCGACACGGGACAACACCGCAGCCCGCCUGCCGCAAAACCUCCGCCCUGUCCCUGCUCAGCACCUCUAUCUACCUCACGUGCGGUCCACGGUUUAUCUGAAGACAUGCUGGAGAAACUCGAUCUCGAGGAUGAAGCUGUUGAACAAUCUGAGAGCGAGAUUUACAUGCGGUUUAUGAAGUCACAUAAGUGCUAUGACAUCGUCCCUACCAGCUCCAAGCUAGUGGUCUUUGACACAACACUGCAGGUAAAAAAGGCCUUUUUUGCCUUGGUGACCAAUGGGGUCCGAGCCGCCCCUCUGUGGGAGACCAAGAAACAGAGUUUUGUGGGCAUGCUAACCAUCACAGACUUCAUCAACAUACUUCACAGAUACUACAAAUCACCCAUGGUACAAAUCUAUGAGCUUGAGGAGCAUAAAAUUGAGACGUGGAGAGAGCUUUAUCUACAAGAAACAUUCAAGCCUUUGGUGAACAUAUCUCCAGAUGCAAGCAUAUUUGAUGCAGUGUAUUCACUGAUCAAAAACAAGAUCCAUCGGUUACCUGUCAUCGACCCUGUCAGUGGAAAUGCACUUUACAUUUUGACGCACAAAAGGAUCCUGAAAUUCCUUCAACUGUUUGUGUGUGAGAUGCCAAAGCCCGCCUUUAUGAAGCAGACACUGGAGGAGCUGAGCAUCGGGACCUACAGCAACAUCGCCUUCAUCCACCCCAACACGCCAAUCAUCACUGCACUCAGCAUCUUUGUGGAGAGGAGAGUGUCAGCGCUGCCUGUGGUGGAUGAGUCAGGAAAAGUUGUAGAUAUUUAUUCCAAAUUUGAUGUCAUUAAUCUUGCUGCUGAAAAGACGUACAACAACCUUGACAUUAAUGUGACACAGGCACUGAUGCACAGGUCACAGUACUUUGAAGGGGUCAUGAAGUGCAACAGACUUGAGACACUGGAAACGAUAGUAGAUCGAAUAGUCAAGGCUGAGGUGCACAGGCUGGUGGUGGUGGAUGAGAAUGGCAGCAUCGUGGGCAUCGUUUCUCUGUCGGACAUCCUCCAGGCACUUGUUCUCAACCCCGCAGGUAUCAAUGCUCAGCAUUCCUAAAGCACAUUUCCAGCCGGACCCUCCUCCUCCCAACCUCUCUCGCCCGAGCCACAGGUAUGACCAGGAAGGAGAGAAAAGUGGAAACAGAGUGAUGCGUGCAGUGAUUGCUGGGUCAUGUGACGUUGCUGUCAAAGACUGAAGUAGAAGCAGUGACCACAAGUUUGCGCCACAUAUCAGAAUGAAAGCGUGGGACCAACGAAUUUGACCUAGAUGUGUGCUGUUAGAGGGCAAAAGAAGGGGUAUAUGGGUACACGGACUGCUCGAUUGGGCUGUUAUCUGAUUUAUAGAUGGACGUAGUGGAUCAUCUCUUAUUCAGAAGGAUACUGUGAACUCUGCCUAUUUUAUCACACUAAGCUUCUGCACGCACACUGAUAACUAUACUUUUACCUAGACCUAAAACAACGCCAUCUGGUGUCUAAGUAGUGGUCUGCACACAGACUACGGAUUGUACCAUAAUCGCCUCUGUUGGAGGGGGGUGUCUCUGUGUUUGCAGGGCAUUCAGUAAUAAUCUCAGUAUCCAAUGCAUGUUAUGACGGUGUGUUCUUUGUGUAUAUACGACUUUCAUCUUGUGGAGUAUGAGUCCGGUUCACAUAUUUGUACUUUUCACUACUCCUGAAUUUAGAAACUCGUUUAGUCUUUCUCCGCCACAGUCCCUUUGUAA